GGGAUAGUAAUUUAAAUAGAAAAAAGCAAAAAAAUGCAUCUUCUUCAUUCUUUCUUCCACCUCUAUUUAAAGCACACCUUUGGGCUUAAUCGGCCUCCAAUUCCAAAAGACAAAAACCACACCCAUACCGUACCUUAAUCAUGACAACAACCACCACUUUCCUUCAACCUCCGCUUCUCCUCCUUCUUUUCCUCCUCCUUCUCCUAAACCCUCUUUCCUCGGCCGCCGCAUCCGACGACGACAACAACAACAAUAAUAACCAAUCCGCUAACUCCACCGCCGACUAUAUCCGCUCCAGCUGCAA
rnacentral:lncRNA from 1 species